rnacentral:lncRNA from 1 species
AGAGAUCAAGAAGAACUGUCUAAACCUUUAUUUUACUUGGGACUAGCCCAUAUGGUCAUUACAUUAACAAUGCUGUGAAAACUCAAUAAAAUUACAAACAGCCAAAUCAUAGCAGGCAACAUACAGUGACUUAUUAUAACACAAUGGCAUAUUUUUAAAGGGGUGGGGGAGAAAUAUUUAACAUAAAAUAUCUCAGGUGCCUGCAGAAUUAGCAAUAUGCAAAUCUACCUGAAUAUGCAAAUGAACCAGUCUUGCUAUUCAGGUAGUGCAUAUUGCUGUUGCUACCAACAGAGGGCACUAG